CGAAAGGAGACCAUCUAUGCCCUGGCUCCCAUCUCUCAUUGGCCAGAGGUUUGCACACAGAGCGACGGCUCUCCUACACUUCUAGGCUGUGCACACCUGGGCGUGGGCCACACAGGCGUCCCGAGGCACAGUUAAGGGAAGUGCCAGGGUGGGCAGGAAGCUGCGCCUGUGAAAAGCCUGUCGGGCCCAAGAAAAGCUGGAACAGGACACUGCCUUAGGACUGAGGGCAAGGAGGACAAGAGGAUCUGACGCGGUGAGUAAGAGGCAUCUGAUAAAGACUCCGGCAGGGGUUGCUGGGAAAGCACUAGAAGGAACAGAGAUGCUGCAUCCAGGCACUGAGGAAUGAGUAGGAUUCCACAAGUACGAGAGUGUGUGUGGCAGGGAGCGGAGGUGGCAGUCUCAGCUGAGGGAACAGCAAGGACAAAGAUUCUGAGGCAAAAUCACGGCGUAUCUGUUGAAUUGCCCUGUGUCCCUCUGUCUUCUGUUACCAUUUCUAGUGAGCUUCCGUGAUUGGCUUCUGCGAUUGGCUCAGGAGCUGCCACAUGACCCACGCUGGGCCAAUCAGAGCCAGCGAGCAUCAUCCCGGGACUUUGCAGGAACAACCUGGCUCUUUCCAUGAGGAUUGCUAAAGGGGUAGGAGAGGAGCCUGGAGCCGUUGGGGGCAUCAUUGUCACACCGAGGAGAGGAUGCCUGAGAAUGACUCUGGCACCGAAAAGAAGAGCUGAGAGAUGAAACAAGUUGUUGACGUCAUUUGAGUGCCUGGAUCCAAGCAUACUCCUGAUUCGGAUCCGUCUUUUGAUUUUUCAGCUUACUCAAGCCAAUGAAUCCCAUUUUCUAUUUUAGGGAGUUUGAAUUGGGCUCCUGCCACUUGUGACCAAAAGUGACCAAAAGGUCCUAAGUAUCCUCAGGACCUCGUAAGCGUCUGAUGCAAAGUAAGUUUUAGGGACUGGCAUUCCUUGGAACACCUAGAACGUCCUUUCUUCUUUGGACACUGGCUCCCUGGGGGAGCCCUUCCAUUCUCGUGGCACAUGCGAUGUUGGUCAGCAUGUGCACUUUGAGACCAAACACCUGGGUUCAAAUUCAAGCUAAGCCAAUUACUAGAUGUGCAACCAGAGGAAAAUUCCGUACUCUCCAUGCCUUAGUUUCUCCAUCUGUAAAAUGAGAUUCAUACUACUACUUACUUCAUAGGGUUACUGGGGCCUUUUAGUGAGUUAAUAUAUGUGAAAUGCUUACACUGGAGUUCAACACAUAAUUAGCACUCAGUAGAGUCAAGCUGAUAUUAGCAGUGUACUGGUGACUUCUGAAUCUAGAUCUCGAAUUCAUACUGGCUGCUGAGGUCCAGGCCAAUGGACAACUCUGUUGAAUGGGCCCAAGACUGGGCUUAGCCUCUACCCUACCUCCCACAACUCAUGCCCCAUUGGCAUCUGAUUCCAAAGCUCGGUUACUCAUGCCAGAAAACUGAAGCUUUUCCUGGAAUACUGCCCCCCUCCCACCCCCAUAUCUAGGCAUCGGCAAGUCCUGUUGAUUCCACCUCCUCAAUAUCGUCUGGAGAUUCUUGCUAUUCAAAGUGUGGCCUGUGGACCAGUAGCGUCGACAUCAGACUCUCGGCCUCACCCGGGACCUAAGGACUGAAAUCUGUAUUUUCACAACAUCCUCAGAUGGUUUGUAUGAACAUUAAACCCCUUCUGAUUUUCUCAACCUUGGCCGCACAUUGACAUCACCAGGGGUGGGGAGGGGCAGAUCUUUUAAAAUGCUGAUGCCCGGGUCCCACCUCCAUAGACUCUGACUGCAUCAGUGGAAGGUGUCAAAUACAAUAGUCCUCUGGCCUCCAGGGUAACCCCUGCCAUUCCAUCCCUGACGCUUCAGCCAAGGUGGCCUUCUACAGCAGGAAAGAAUUGUGCCCACUCCAACAGAGAGGUACCACACAGGUACAGAAACAAAAGUCAUUUUCUCUUACUGACCCCAACUUCCUCAUAAGGCUCCUCAUGCUGCUGACAGCAGGUAAAACAAACAAAGAAACUGAUUUUACCAAUUAAAAAGGCCCCAGUGACCCUAUGCAGUAAGUAGUAGUAUGAGUCCCAUUUUACAGAUGGGGAAACUGAGGCACGGAGAGAGUAAGGAAUUUUCCUCUGGUUGCGCAUUUAGUGAUUGGCUUAGCUUGAAUUUGAACCCAGGCGUUUGUUCUCAAAGCGCAUGUGCCAUGAGAAUUGGUACCUUGGUCUUUCAAGGCCAAGGUGAUGCUGUCCUGCAAGGGUUCUCCUCCUACCCACACCAGAGCUUUCCUUCCUGAUCUAGGCUGUGCAUUCGGGGGCACAUGCAUAUCCUCACGGUGGCGGGGGAAUGACUGCUUGCCCAUCUGUGUCCUCUGCCCCCCCUCUACUCCAGGGCCUCAGGUGUACUGAGUCACUUAUCUCUGAGCUUUGGCCUCUCUGGUCGCUGAAUCUGCUGGUGCAGUCUUGGUUCCUCCUGGCCUGCAGAUGUGUGCCCACACCCCUGCUGCUGAUGAUGGGCCCUGCCAUCGCCUCCCUGUGGCCUCCUUGCCCUCAUCCUCUGGGCUCCUCUGAAGCUCCUCACUGCUCCCCAUGCCAUUGAGAGGCACAGGAAGACUUACGGACCUUGUGAAUGUCACUCAUAGGCCUCUGGGAACCAGCAGGGCUCUCUCGGGUCUGCUGCUCUAGACACCUCCCUUGGUGUUUACGUGAGCCAAGAAGGCUGGCAGGGGAUGGCAUGGGCCGGAUGCUCUCAAAUUCUCCCUUCACUUCCCCAAAGUGCCCGUGAGAGUUUCUGUCUCCUCUCCUCCCCAACAGACCCAGCCGAGCUUCAGCACUGGGCUGGGGCCUGUUCCACCUCCUGCUCCUUCCAUUCUCCCUGGAAGGACAUCUAGGUUCCAUUUUCUCUAGGUGGGGAGCUUCUCUUGCAUCCUGUGAAGGUUCCCUCUCCCUAAGGCUCACAGUAAAGCUCUCUGGUCCAAGCUGGUCAGGCCCAGCCUGUGAAUUCAGAAGAAGCUUUGGAUAUUUAAAAAAAACUUUUUCUCUCUUCACAAGGCUGACUUCUGAGACCCUUUUCUCACUGCAAACCUAAGAAAGCCAGCCGGGCCUCUUUGUUCUAAUGAAUACCUGCUCUCUGCAUCCCCAGGCAAUAAGCCUCCUGGACUUUUCUUGGAGGUGGAAAGGCUGCAAGACAAUAUGCUUUAGGGUAGGAGGAGGGGAGGAUUCAAAGCAGCCUCCUCACAACCUGAAUGGCCAUCAACUGGUGAAAGAUACAACCAUAUAAUGGAUUAUUACUCAGCACUGAAAAAGGUACCAGCUGUGAUACACACACAGAGGAAUCUCAGAAGCACUGUAAUAAGUGGAAGAAACUCGUCACAGAAGGCAACACACUGCGUGAGUCAAUUUAUAGGAAAGUUGAGACAAGGCAAGUGUGCAGAUUUUAGAACAGAUCCGUGGUUGCCUGGGACUGGGUGGGGUGGAGGGGAGGGACUGAUUGCAAAAGGGCAUGAGAGAACUUUGGGGAGUAAUGGAAAUGUUUAUAUCUUGAUGAUGGUAGUAAUUAUACGAUUAUAUACCCUUGCCCAAAAUGAUUGAAUUGUACAUUUAAAAUUGGUGAAUUUUAUUAUGUAAAGUAGACCUCAGUGUAGCUGAUUUUAAAAAAAGUAAAAAUCACCAGUUACAUAUUUUAAGACAUCAAUCUCAUUUCAUAUUGAAAACUGACAUCCCAAUAUCUGAUUCUCCAUUUCAA
rnacentral:lncRNA from 10 species